rnacentral:rRNA from 1 species
GAACGCUGGCGGCGUGCCUAAUACAUGCAAGUCGAGCGAACAGAUAAGGAGCUUGCUCCUUUGAAGUUAGCGGCGGACGGGUGAGUAACACGUGGGUAACCUACCUAUAAGACUGGGAUAACUUCGGGAAACCGGAGCUAAUACCGGAUAACAUUUAGAACCGCAUGGUUCUAAAGUGAAAGAUGGUUUUGCUAUCACUUAUAGAUGGACCCGCGCCGUAUUAGCUAGUUGGUAAGGUAACGGCUUACCAAGGCGACGAUACGUAGCCGACCUGAGAGGGUGAUCGGCCACACUGGAACUGAGACACGGUCCAGACUCCUACGGGAGGCAGCAGUAGGGAAUCUUCCGCAAUGGGCGAAAGCCUGACGGAGCAACGCCGCGUGAGUGAUGAAGGGUUUCGGCUCGUAAAACUCUGUUAUUAGGGAAGAACAAAUGUGUAAGUAACUGUGCACAUCUUGACGGUACCUAAUCAGAAAGCCACGGCUAACUACGUGCCAGCAGCCGCGGUAAUACGUAGGUGGCAAGCGUUAUCCGGAAUUAUUGGGCGUAAAGCGCGCGUAGGCGGUUUCUUAAGUCUGAUGUGAAAGCCCACGGCUCAACCGUGGAGGGUCAUUGGAAACUGGGAAACUUGAGUGCAGAAGAGGAAAGUGGAAUUCCAUGUGUAGCGGUGAAAUGCGCAGAGAUAUGGAGGAACACCAGUGGCGAAGGCGACUUUCUGGUCUGUAACUGACGCUGAUGUGCGAAAGCGUGGGGAUCAAACAGGAUUAGAUACCCUGGUAGUCCACGCCGUAAA